AACAUGCAAAAACCAAAGCCUCGCAAGAACCGCUCCUUCUCCCUCCACUUCUCAUGGAGCUCGCCCUCCCUCCCUUCCCCUCUCUCCUCCCCAAAUCCCACCACCUCCAGCCCCAGCCGCCCUCCCGGCCCCGCCAUGGCCGCCUCCAAGAACCGGUCAUGGCGCUGGCCCAAGCUCCGCCGCCCUGGCUGGCGCUCUCGCUUGACGAGGCGAGAAGCGUCCACGUCCCUCACCACGCGCGGCCUGUCCAAGAGACAAGAGCUCGCCCGCCCACCUCCUUCGCGCGCGGGGAGCCCCGGUUCGUCUCGGAGACCAAGCUCAUCACGUUCCACUCCUCCGCGGGCCGCCUGGGCGCCGCCCGCGAGGUGUUCGACGGAAUGAGCCACAGGGACCUGCUCGCCUGGUCGGCCAUGAUCGGCGCGUACGCCACCAGGGGCAUCUUCCAUGAGGUGCUCGCGCUCGCGGUGAGCAUGAUGGGGGAAGGCGUGCUCCCUGACAGGUUCCUGAUCACUCGGAUUCUGCAGGCGUGCGCCUACGCUGAGGACCAGAGGCUUGGGAGUGUGCUGCACUCCAUGGCCAUCCGGAGAGGGUUUAUGGGCAGGGUGAAGGAUGUGCCUGUGGGGAACUCGGUGCUGGUGAUGUAUGUCAAAUGUGGAGAACUGGGGCGUGCGCGCGCGGUGUUUGACAAGAUGAGGCGCCGGGACCUGGGCACAUGGAACUCGAUGAUCUUUGGGUGCUGUCGGUCUUGCGAGUGGGAGGAAGCGCGGAGGCUUCUUGAUGAAAUGAGGCGGGAAGGGACAGAGCCAGGGGUUGUCACAUGGAACACACUGAUUUCGAGCUAUGCUAGGUCUGGGGAUCUUGAUGUGGCCGUGGACCUGCUGGGACAGAUGGAAGAGUGUGGAGUAGAGCCAGAUGUUGUCACGUGGACAAGCCUUGUGUCAGGUUUCGUUCAUAGCGAUAGAGGGGAUGAGGCACUUCAGUGUUUUAUCCGGAUGCGUGUGGCUGGAGUGGAACCAAAUGGCAUGACAAUUGCAUGUGCCAUCUCAGCUUGUGCGAGUUUGAAGUUAUUGAGACAGGGAAGCCAGCUCCAUUGCCAUGCGAUUAAGAUUGGGACUGUAAACAAUGUUUUGUCUGGGAACUCCUUGGUUGACAUGUAUGCUAAAUGUGGCGAAAUAGUCGCAGCAUAUAGAAUAUUUAAUGAGAUACCCGAGAAGGACAUCUUCUCCUGGAAUUCAAUGGUUGCAGGGUAUGCACAAGCGGGAUACUGUGGCAAGGCAUACGAACUCUUCUGCAAGAUGGAAAGUUAUGGUAUCCAGCGCAAUGUGAUAACCUGGAAUACAAUGAUAUCAGGGUACAUACGGAAUGGGGACGAUGAGAGAGCUUUUGAACUAUUCCAGACCAUGGAAAGUUAUGGAGUAAAAAAGGACACAGCUUCCUGGAACAUACUCAUUGCUGGUUCAGUGCAUAAUGGAUAUUUUGAUAGAGCCCUAAGAAUAUUUUGGCAGAUGCAAUCAGUUCUGAUAAAGCCCGACUACAUUACAAUCCUAAGUAUCAUCCCAGCAUUCGCAAAUCUGGUGGCAGCGUGGAAAGUAAGGGAGAUCCAUGCCUGUAUUUUUCACCACAACUUAGAAAUGGAUGGGAAAAUCGCAAAUGCGCUUAUUAAUGCAUAUUCAAAAUCUGGUGAUCUUGCUGGUGCUUGUGCUGUUUUUGAUAGGCACUCAUCAAGGAACACUAUUUCAUGGAAUUGCAUCAUUGUUGCACAUUUGCUGCAUGGGUCUCCAACUAAAGUAGUGGAUUACUUCUUUAAAAUGAAGCAACAAGGUGUACUGCCAGAUCAUACAACUUUGACAGCUGUUAUCAGGGCCUACGGUAUGGAGGGGAUGGUAUCUGAAGGGAGAGAAAUAUUUCUCAAUAUGGACAAAGACUAUAAUGUAACUCCAGAUUUAGAUCAUUAUGCAGCAAUGGUAGACCUUCUUGGACGGUCUGGGAGACUGCAAGAGGCAUAUGCAAUUAUUGAUGAAAUGCCACUCGCACCCAAUUUAACACUGUGGGAAUCAUUACUAACCUCAGCAAGAAUGCAUGGAAAUGUAAGGCUGGCACUACUGGCGGCUACAGAGAUGUCGAUGAUUGAACCCAAUGAUCCUAGAAUCCAAGUCGUGGUUUCUAGUCUGCAGGAUCUUGCUGGACAAUCUUUUGAUGUGCCAAAGGUGACAGUACACAGCAAGGAAAGAAUGUUGGGUGGGGUUGAGAGUUGUUCAACAGAAAUCAGAAAUAUGGUAUAUUUGUUCUCAACUGGUGAUAAGGUUGCCUCGGAGCAUGAAGCAGCUGAAUUAAAAGUGAUGAUGAUUGAGAUGGGACCCUCUAUGCUUAGCGCUGGUAAUGGAACUCUAGAAGUGGAAGAAGAGAAGGAAGAAGUUGCAGGAAUCCAUUGUGAGAAAUUAGCAAUUAUUGUUGGGAUUUCUAAUUCUCCUCACUUCAGAAGCAUACGGAUAAUCAAAACUGCAAGGAUGUGUAACCAUUGUCACACCUUCGCUAAGUUAGUUUCGAAGAAGUAUGGGCGUCAGAUACUGAUCAAGGAUCCGAAGUAUUUGCACAAGUUUGAGAAUGGUAAUUGCUCUUGUGAUGAUUAUUGGUGAACUCAACUGGUAUAAGUCAGCUGGGCAAAUGAGGCUGCCAGGUGGCUAGACUGAAAUGUUCCAGAUAUAUGAAUACAGCCAGCUAACUUUAUGAACAGUGUUGUUCAUCAUAUUUUUAGAUCACAUACCUCAGCAAGAGGUUGCAUUGUAUUUGAAUUUCAUUGACACUGAAUAUGGCCUCAACAUUAAUAUAAAGUUGACACUUGGCACUCUUGGGAGUUAGCCUUUCCAGGAAUUCUAUCUCCGGAUAAAACAUUAUUGCUCUGGUAUCAUUAAAACAAAGCCAUUCAGAUGAUACAUGCUCCCAGCAUUAGUGAAUUCAUUGUAAACGAAUUGGUAGAACAGAUCACUGCAAGUGGCACAACAUACAAGAUUAUGCUUAUAAUUCAACCACAUAUUGAAUGGCUGCAUGCCUCUAUGCAUAUGAUCAAUGGGAUUCAUCGAUGAUCUCCAACUCAGAAGCAAUACGACCUUGAAUGAUGAUUGGCCUCACUAGAGAAGCUUUCAUUAAGCACCAGGGCACUGCUGCUGCAAAUGGAAACAACCUACAAAGUUUUUUGCCAUACCAUAAACCUUACUGAUACUGAAUUAGUAAGGUACUGCAGCUAUUGGCUAUAUUUGUUGGUCUAUCAAAUAUAGAAUCUAUACUUGGUGCUUCCCCUCAUUUCCCCCUCUUUUGAUCACCCAAUUCAGCUGAAAUUAUUUAUGGGUGUAUCCUGCCAAACUGACCCAAUAUUCAAGAAUCUGUGUUCCAUUGAAUCAUCUCAGGUGCUUAUUCAUGUCGCUUUGUUUUCAAGCUAUGCUGUACAACCCUUUGUGUUGUAUUAAUGAUCAGAGAGCUAACUUGGUCUCAAGCUCAGAGCAAUGUCCUUGUUUAGAAGAAGUGAAUAUCACCAUCUCUUUCACAUGGCGCCUUCUUUUUUCCAUUUUGCUUUCUCAAUUGUCAAUUUAGUGAACCGAAGGGUAAGCAGGAGAAUUAUUCAAUUUGACUUUGCAUUCACCGAAGUGGUACUUUUGUGUGUGUGGUUGGGGGAGUCUGUCAGGAACCAUGUCUGAGUAUCAAUCACAAAUAAGACAAUUUUUCAGAUCUGUACGGGUGCCCCUCUCCUCUUUAGGUUUACACAAAAUUUGCACACAUGUACUGUAUGAAACUAAAUGUAUAUUGGACGUGAAGUUUCUGCACAUGAGCACAUAUGCGCCCUUUAUCUGGGCGGUUGAAUAGAGCAUCAGGAUGUGCUGCAUUUAAUUCUGGGCGAGAUAUGGGUCCGCUCAUAAUGAUGGAGAUGUUCAUAUACGUACGCUGUGACUUCUGGGCUGUGGGUCAGGAUUGUAACAGAUGGACGAUCACUGUGGAUGGUUGGAAGCAGGGCUGUGGCUCAUGACGUCAUGCCCCUUCCCGAUCCGUGGAUCAGGAAACAUGCUUUCCAGCUACUGGGACAGAGCCGUAGUAAAUGUGGGUGGCUGGGUGGUGUCGUCUCCUACCUCAGGCGGCUGGAUUCUUCCAUUAGCGAGAGCGGUCGUCUCGGUGGCGCACCUUCUGCGGGAACAAGACUGCCACUGCCGGUGAAGAUGAAGUUCUUGAUGCAGCCGAUUAGAAGGUGCGAAUCUGAACCAUUGGUAUAUACUGCCAUUUGAGUUGUGUUUCCAUUGAGUAAGAUUGAUCUUCCAUUACCUCAUGUCACUAAGCAGAUUUAGCUUGCUAGAGGAGGUUAACGAUAGCGACAUCCCGAUGGAGCCGCUGCAUUACCAAGUCGCCCCACCGGUUGUCGAGCAGCAGCUGCGUCGAUGCAGGCAGUGAGCGUCAACGGCUAAAUCUGCGACGCAGGCGGCGGCAGAUGCUGAAAGGGAAGGUUCACUGCAGGCAUCUGGGCAGUUGAUUGGCCAGAUGAACACUAAAGCUCAUGGAUGGACCUGAAGGUAUGUCAGAAUUCAGGUGUACAAUCUGAAUUUCAUCAUGCAACUCUGAAAGUAAAGAGUCCUGGAACUUGUCACCAAUUACUAAGCUGGUCCACAGAUUAGUCAUGUAGGUAGUGUGACAUUUUAGUCCAGUAGUGCAUCUGUGCAAAAAAUCUUUGAUUUUGGUAGUGUGACAGAUCAGUGUGCUGUGCUCUUUACUGACAAAUUAGCAAAUUAGUUGUGUGCUCUUUAUCAUGGAGGCAGUGUGCUUUUGAAGUUUUAACUGACAAAUUAGCAAAUUAGCUGUGCUCUUUAUCAUGCAGGUAGUGUGCUUUUUACUGAUUAAUUAGUAAAUUGUGCACAGAUUAGUCAUGGAGGUAGUGGGCCAUUAUAGUCCAGUACUACGUCAGCACGAAAAAUCAAAUGAUUUUGUCACUACCUUAUAUAUUGCAAAACUGUAGCAAAUUAGUUGUGAUAAUAAUUUCUGGCCUGAAAACACUGCGGCCGGGUUGUCAUCAUACCUAAUAACCAGUGUAGAAAUUUGAAUGCCUACAUUGCCUUAGAAAUAACUGCUGCUGCCGGUGAUGGAAUUCCUAAUGCAACCGAUCAGAAGGUAAGAAGCACCUAUGAAUCUGGAUCAGCGGAAACUGGUGGGGGAACGCUCUGUCUUUAUUUGCUUCGUGGUUUUGUUCUUGUGUUUUACCAGGUUCCCUUUGGUCGACGAUUUGUUCAAAAGUCAACCCGUCCAUGCUUCUGCCGGCUAUCGGGAUAGCGGCGUCUUUCUGGCUCAGGGCAGCAGAAGAACUGCCGGUGGAAUUCGUGAGCGCAGAUGCGCCAAUUUGUGAGGAACAGGCAGGCGUGGAUGGAAGACGGGAGAGCUUGCCCCAGUUAUCUGAGCCCGCAACGCAAGCAUUGGGCUGGUAAAAUAGGUGCGUUCCAAAAACUAUUUGUGUCUUGCAUUUUGGAAAUUGCUGGAUCGGAAGUAAGCUAGGCUGGGUGGAUGUGUGAGAGUAGUCUUGGAUUUGCUAGCCGGUAGAAGUGCUAUGUCGCUGCUAGUGCACUGCUAUUAAUCUGUGCACCUAUAUAACUUCAGGAAAUGUACAUACUGAUUCAGGGAUGCUGAUAUGAUAUGAUUUACUAGGAAAAGACUUGCACCUACCCACGUCAAUAGAUAUUGAUUUUCGCUCUACAUAGGUACGGGCAUAUAUAGUGUGUAGAGAAGUUAGACACACUGUGUCUUAAAAGCUAAAAAACGUGCGAUUGAUCGGUGAAAUCCCAGCUAGGCUGGGGGCUGAUCGGUAGCGAAUAAACUUAGCAUGCGAUGACCCGAUCUACACUAGCAAAUUAAAAAACCAAAAACUAUGAAAAGAAAAAUGAAACAACAACCAGAAAAAUAAAUAAACAACAAUGUAAAAACCAAGAAGAGAAACCAGCAAUAACCAGAAAAGGAAAAAGGAAAUGGGCAGGGCAGCCAGCCCACGUCAGGCGCUCAUAGGU
rnacentral:rRNA from 1 species